UUAAGUUAUUAAGGGCGCACGGUGGAUGCCUUGGCACUAGAAGCCGAUGAAGGACGUUACUAACGACGAUAUGCUUUGGGGAGCUGUAAGUAAGCUUUGAUCCAGAGAUUUCCGAAUGGGGAAACCCAGCAUGAGUUAUGUCAUGUUAUCGAUAUGUGAAUACAUAGCAUAUCAGAAGGCACACCCGGAGAACUGAAACAUCUUAGUACCCGGAGGAAGAGAAAGAAAAUUCGAUUCCCUUAGUAGCGGCGAGCGAAACGGGAAGAGCCCAAACCAACAAGCUUGCUUGUUGGGGUUGUAGGACACUCUAUACGGAGUUACAAAGGACGACAUUAGACGAAUCAUCUGGAAAGAUGAAUCAAAGAAGGUAAUAAUCCUGUAGUCGAAAAUGUUGUCUCUCUUGAGUGGAUCCUGAGUACGACGGAGCACGUGAAAUUCCGUCGGAAUCUGGGAGGACCAUCUCCUAAGGCUAAAUACUCUCUAGUGACCGAUAGUGAACCAGUACCGUGAGGGAAAGGUGAAAAGCACCCCGGAAGGGGAGUGAAAUAGAACCUGAAACCGUGUGCUUACAAGUAGUCAGAGCCCGUUAAUGGGUGAUGGCGUGCCUUUUGUAGAAUGAACCGGCGAGUUACGAUUUGAUGCAAGGUUAAGCAGUAAAUGUGGAGCCGUAGCGAAAGCGAGUCUGAAUAGGGCGUUUAGUAUUUGGUCGUAGACCCGAAACCAGGUGAUCUACCCUUGGUCAGGUUGAAGUUCAGGUAACACUGAAUGGAGGACCGAACCGACUUACGUUGAAAAGUGAGCGGAUGAACUGAGGGUAGCGGAGAAAUUCCAAUCGAACCUGGAGAUAGCUGGUUCUCUCCGAAAUAGCUUUAGGGCUAGCCUCAAGUGAUGAUUAUUGGAGGUAGAGCACUGUUUGGACGAGGGGCCCCUCUCGGGUUACCGAAUUCAGACAAACUCCGAAUGCCAAUUAAUUUAACUUGGGAGUCAGAACAUGGGUGAUAAGGUCCGUGUUCGAAAGGGAAACAGCCCAGACCACCAGCUAAGGUCCCAAAAUAUAUGUUAAGUGGAAAAGGAUGUGGCGUUGCCCAGACAACUAGGAUGUUGGCUUAGAAGCAGCCAUCAUUUAAAGAGUGCGUAAUAGCUCACUAGUCGAGUGACACUGCGCCGAAAAUGUACCGGGGCUAAACAUAUUACCGAAGCUGUGGAUUGUCCUUUGGACAAUGGUAGGAGAGCGUUCUAAGGGCGUUGAAGCAUGAUCGUAAGGACAUGUGGAGCGCUUAGAAGUGAGAAUGCCGGUGUGAGUAGCGAAAGACGGGUGAGAAUCCCGUCCACCGAUUGACUAAGGUUUCCAGAGGAAGGCUCGUCCGCUCUGGGUUAGUCGGGUCCUAAGCUGAGGCCGACAGGCGUAGGCGAUGGAUAACAGGUUGAUAUUCCUGUACCACCUAUAAUCGUUUUAAUCGAUGGGGGGACGCAGUAGGAUAGGCGAAGCGUGCGAUUGGAUUGCACGUCUAAGCAGUAAGGCUGAGUAUUAGGCAAAUCCGGUACUCGUUAAGGCUGAGCUGUGAUGGGGAGAAGACAUUGUGUCUUCGAGUCGUUGAUUUCACACUGCCGAGAAAAGCCUCUAGAUAGAAAAUAGGUGCCCGUACCGUAAACCGACACAGGUAGUCAAGAUGAGAAUUCUAAGGUGAGCGAGCGAACUCUCGUUAAGGAACUCGGCAAAAUGACCCCGUAACUUCGGGAGAAGGGGUGCUCUUUAGGGUUAACGCCCAGAAGAGCCGCAGUGAAUAGGCCCAAGCGACUGUUUAUCAAAAACACAGGUCUCUGCUAAACCGUAAGGUGAUGUAUAGGGGCUGACGCCUGCCCGGUGCUGGAAGGUUAAGAGGAGUGGUUAGCUUCUGCGAAGCUACGAAUCGAAGCCCCAGUAAACGGCGGCCGUAACUAUAACGGUCCUAAGGUAGCGAAAUUCCUUGUCGGGUAAGUUCCGACCCGCACGAAAGGCGUAACGAUUUGGGCACUGUCUCAACGAGAGACUCGGUGAAAUCAUAGUACCUGUGAAGAUGCAGGUUACCCGCGACAGGACGGAAAGACCCCGUGGAGCUUUACUGUAGCCUGAUAUUGAAAUUCGGCACAGCUUGUACAGGAUAGGUAGGAGCCUUUGAAACGUGAGCGCUAGCUUACGUGGAGGCGCUGGUGGGAUACUACCCUAGCUGUGUUGGCUUUCUAACCCGCACCACUUAUCGUGGUGGGAGACAGUGUCAGGCGGGCAGUUUGACUGGGGCGGUCGCCUCCUAAAAGGUAACGGAGGCGCUCAAAGGUUCCCUCAGAAUGGUUGGAAAUCAUUCAUAGAGUGUAAAGGCAUAAGGGAGCUUGACUGCGAGACCUACAAGUCGAGCAGGGUCGAAAGACGGACUUAGUGAUCCGGUGGUUCCGCAUGGAAGGGCCAUCGCUCAACGGAUAAAAGCUACCCCGGGGAUAACAGGCUUAUCUCCCCCAAGAGUUCACAUCGACGGGGAGGUUUGGCACCUCGAUGUCGGCUCAUCGCAUCCUGGGGCUGUAGUCGGUCCCAAGGGUUGGGCUGUUCGCCCAUUAAAGCGGUACGCGAGCUGGGUUCAGAACGUCGUGAGACAGUUCGGUCCCUAUCCGUCGUGGGCGUAGGAAAUUUGAGAGGAGCUGUCCUUAGUACGAGAGGACCGGGAUGGACAUACCUCUGGUGUACCAGUUGUCGUGCCAACGGCAUAGCUGGGUAGCUAUGUGUGGACGGGAUAAGUGCUGAAAGCAUCUAAGCAUGAAGCCCCCCUCAAGAUGAGAUUUCCCAACUUCGGUUAUAAGAUCCCUCAAAGAUGAUGAGGUUAAUAGGUUCGAGGUGGAAGCAUGGUGACAUGUGGAGCUGACGAAUACUAAUCGAUCGAAGACUUAAUCAA
rnacentral:rRNA from 4 species